UACGUAGGGUGCGAGCGUUGUCCGGAAUUAUUGGGCGUAAAGAGCUCGUAGGCGGUGUGUCGCGUCGGCCGUGAAAACCUGCAGCUUAACUGUGGGCUUGCGGUCGAUACGGGCAUCACUGGAGUUCGGCAGGGGAGACUGGAAUUCCUGGUGUAGCGGUGAAAUGCGCAGAUAUCAGGAGGAACACCGGUGGCGAAGGCGGCUUUCUGGACAGUAACUGACGCUCAUGCACGACAGCGUGGGGAUCAAACAGG
rnacentral:rRNA from 1 species